CGUGGAGGUGCAGAGACGGCGGAGGCCACGGUCGCGUUCGAGAUCGCCGGCUACAGCCUGCACAAGGGCCUCGGUAGAGGCAAAUACCUCCGUUCCCCGGUGUUCUCCAUCGGCGGCUACGACUGGUGCAUCUGGUACUACCCCGACGGAAAAAACGACGACUGUGAAGGUUACGUCUCUGUCUUCCUCAAGCUCCUGACCAAGAACGCAGAAGCGAGGGCGCUCUACAACUGGAUGCUUGUGGAUCUGGUUACCGGGCGGUCGAUUACGCUGCACUACGGCAAAGAGCCACUAGCGUUUAACAGUCAAAAGUCACUUUGGGGCAUACCAAAGUUCAUGAAGACCACUGUUGAAAACGAGUCGUUCUACCUGCGGAACGAUUGUCUGGUGAUCGAGUGCAAGGUCAGUGUCACCAAGGGAACAAUUGAGGUCCCUGUGCCGCCCUCCGACCUUUUGGAUAAUCUUGCAACAUUGCUAGAGGGGAAGAAAGGAGCGGACGUGACGUUCAAGGUGCAAGGGGAGGUUUUUCCAGCUCAUAAGAAUUUGCUUGCCAUGCGAUCGGCGGUCUUCGACGCGGAAUUAUACGGGCCUAUGGCGGACAAAGGGGCGCAGGACAUAACUAUUGAUGAAAUGCAGCCUGCUGUUUUCAAGGCAUUUCUUCACUUCAUCUACACGGACACAAUGCCUUCCAUGGACGAUCUUGAUGAUGAUGACAAACGAGAAAUGGUUAAGCACUUACUCGUGGCUGCAGAUAAGUAUGCGAUGGAAAGGAUGAAGAGGAUAUGUGAAGGGAUGCUAUGCAAGUGUCUUGACGUUGAGACCGUGGCGACCAUCUUAGCUCUAGCUGACCAGCAUCAUUGCAGCGACCUCAAAGAUGCUUGCAUUGAAUUUAUGCUCUCUUCGAAUAGAAUGGAUGAUGUGAUCGCAAGCCAAGGGUAUGUGCACCUCAAAAGAUCUUUUCCUGGUCUCUUUGUAGAGAUGUUUGAGAGAAGUGUCAAGUCCUGCAAAAUUUAG
rnacentral:rRNA from 1 species